ACAGCUAAAUUGGCUCAUCCUGGUUUGCUUGUAGGAUGUGAAUGCAAGCACCUGCCAAGAAAAGCAAUGGCCAAGAUGAUUGAUGAGUGCAGGACCUGAGAGAACCACCUUGAAUGACAAUCUCGAGGAGUUUCCAGUAUUGGAUAUAAACGAUGGCCUUUGCUGCAUCUCCUUGAGCAAGGAAAGCCAAGAAACCUUUGCUUUUGAAGGAGAAAAUCUGGGAAGCGGGAAGGAAGAAGAGAAGCCCCCUGACUCCUCCCUGAGCCCCAGACAGCCCAUGAACUGCCUUCCUGGGAAUGGUGGGACGGGCUGGACUCUGGAUUGCUCCCUCUGGAUGUGUGUGGGAUGGAGCCUGGAAACUGCACAGAGCUGAGCCAAGGGAUUGAAAGGGACCAACCAAGGGAGGUGAAGAAAGAAGGUAGACGGGAACUGAGGCAGUAGACAAGCACCUCUAAGUUACACUGUAAACAGGAUGUGAAUGCAAGAACCUGCCAAGAAAAGCAAUGGCCAAGAUGAUUGAUGAGUGCAGGACCUGAGAGAACCACCUUGAAUGACAAUCUCGAGGAGUUUCCAGUAUUGGAUAUAAACGAUGGCCUUUGCUGCAUCUCCUUGAGCAAGGAAAGCCAAGAAACCUUUGCUUUUGAAGGAGAAAAUCUGGGAAGCGGGAAGGAAGAAGAGAAGCCCCCUGACUCCUCCCUGAGCCCCAGACAGCCCAUGAACUGCCUUCCUGGGAAUGGUGGGACGGGCUGGACUCUGGAUUGCUCCCUCUGGAUGUGUGUGGGAUGGAGCCUGGAAACUGCACAGAGCUGAGCCAAGGGAUUGAAAGGGACCAACCAAGGGAGGUGAAGAAAGAAGGAAGAAGGGAAGUGAGGCAGCAGCCAAGCAGCACCAAGUUCCUGUGUAAGCAG